rnacentral:snRNA from 1 species
GUGCUUGCUUUGGCAGCACAUACACUAAAAUUGGAAUGAUACAGAGAAGAUUAGCAUGGCCCCUGUGCAAGGAUGAUAUGCAAAUUCGUGAAGCGUUCCAUAUUUUU